UCUCACCGACAUCAAACACAAUGGCUGUACAGCAUGAUGUGAGUCAUGCUACGAUAAACAAACAUGACAUAUUAAACAGGAAAAUUAGUCGCUCUUAAUACUCCUCUAUAUUAAAUCAGGAAAACGCUAAUUAGAACAACCUGCGCUUGAUCCAGACUGAUUCACCCCUGCUCUCAGGCUCUUUUUUUAUGUGUGUUUGUGUCUGUCACAUUCUUCUCCUGCUGCCGCCUUAAUAGGCACUGUCUUAGAAUAGCUCAUGCAAUAUUAAUAUCACACCAAAAUAUGGAAGCCGGAGCCCCCUCUUCCCUCUCUGACUCCCUACAUAAUUGACUAUGCAAGGCUCCAAAUCAGCUCGGAGACAGAGGAAAAGACAAGUAGAGAGACAAAGCAGCACGGAGAGAGUGAGAGACGUAAAAAAUAAAUAAAAAAAUAAAAACAAUCCUGAAACAACGCUGUCAUCUUGGUGCUCCAGCAGAUUCUGAACCUUCAACCUUCUGCGCUACAGUCAAGGCAAGAUAACUGAACAACAACAACAGCCAGAGCAGCAGCUCAAACUGUUUGAAUUCCUACAAACAAUUUGCGCUCAGGAAGAUGUAGCACCACACCAGGAAGGCGCAGGCAUCCUCUGAACUUUGUGUUACAUACUGUAACUGGACUAGUUUGAGAUGAAGAGGGACUUCCCCAGACAGACGGCGAAAGCGAGCAAUUGUCCUACGACCCGGCGGGGGCCGAGCCAAUCAGACAAUAAACACAAAGAGCCAAUCAGAGUUGCCUGAACACAGAGGCCGUUAACAAUGGAGGGAGGGAUACGCAUUGCUGCCAGACCCCUGCCAUGUGACAAUCUUUUAUGGCUUCACAAACGUUUACAUGGGACAGGGAUUAUUCUGAUGUGAUGUGCUACGUGUCGAAUUACACUGAAAAAAUAAAAGAUCUAUUAUUUA